AUAGAGAAUCGUUCUCACUGCGUUUCAUCCAACUUCGUUCUAAAUCUACGAAACGCGAUUUCUUUCAAGCCAAUCUUUCAUCGAAUCUAUUUUCUUGAACGGUAAUCGUCGAACGAUCGAAUUUCCUCGUAGAAUUCGUUAAUCCUCGCCAGCGGCACAUUACCACGGACGAACAUAAAUUCAGAGUUGGCUGUGCGUAAAAGGUUGACGAGGAACGAGAGGCUGGACGAUGGAAACCUUUCGCGUAAGCCAGAGAACCGACCUCCCUGCGUGAAACCUAUUUUCCCGGGCUCGUUCCCUGUGGGAUCGCUCUCGGUGGUCUAACUAACGCCUGGCCGCAAACAAGUUGUGACUAUUUUGAGGGGAUUCCUACGAUGUUUCGAGAGAACCAUCCCGCGAUGAUUGUACAGAGGAAAAUUCGUUGGAGGGUAUCGAUAGAAGUGCGUCAAUGCAAAAUGGACAUUUUAAUUAAAGAACAAUCUCUGUAGCAGGAAACCAUUUAUCAUAGUUUCUAAUCUAAUUUCAUCCAAUUUUCCAUCGAAAAUUAUUAAACGAAAGUCACCUUGAACGAGCUCGUUACGUGGCGUAGAAAUAGCGCAACCUUAGUCAUUUUGUUCAAACAAAUAUAAAUAAAAGUACUAUUCUAGCAGCAGAAUGGUUUGCCAGUAUGACGCAUGAACGUCAUACCAGGCCAAUAAUUAAAGAUUCCCGUCAAACUUUCCGAUUAAUUCAACGUUGGCUGACAAUUACUCGGCCUAGUUCAUAUGUCAUUUGAUGUGCGACGUUUGGACCGUUUCCAUGGAUGAAAAUUCGAUUUGCUACAAUCACUAGCAUGCAUGAGUCAUCAAUUAUUACUCGCAUGUAACCGUAAAGAAUCUUAAAGCGUAAAGAACCGUAAAGAAACCGCUGAUCUUCCACGAUCGGAAAGUGACUCAUCCUUUAGUUCGGAAAAUCAGUCUUUAAAUUUAGUGACCGAUCACCUUGCGCGUUGAAACAGACUGCCUUGAAAGUAUGUCGCAGAAAAAAAUACGAAGACGGUACGUUUACAGAAAAUCUGGCAAAAUUUCAAAACUGCGUUUCCACUGUAAAUAGUGCUCGAACUAGGGUGAAACUCGCGAACGUUCGUGAAAAAUAUGAUUCUUAGAUUUCGCGAGAAUGACUCACUUACAUUAUGCGAAAUUAUUGUGGCUUGAAGUAGAUAUAUUUCUUUACAUAUACGUAUUUAAAUGGAAGAGGCUCUAUUGGAAUUUGCUUCUUCUUAAUAUAAACCAGAAGAAACAGAAAUUUAUAACGGAAGGACCUGCGCCAGAAAUAAAGGAAGUAUCGUUGUAACGAGAACGUUGAAUCGACGUUGGUUUAAGAACGUUUCAUCAACGCUAUAAAAACUCUCAUACUUGAUCUAUCGUUUAACCGUAUCUAAUUCCUCGAUCAUGGAGCUUUUUCCACGAACUUCCCCACCGUGACUUUUUCUCAUCAGGAAGACGGAUUACGAAUCGCUAUUUUCCUCGGCAUUACACAGAAGCAGCUCUUGGAGGCUCCACCAGAUGUGAUUUCAAAAUACCUUACAACUUCGAUGACUGCGAUGGCUAAAAAAAUUCUCAGGUUUCAAAAAUUCGCUUUUCGUUAAAUUUUGUCCUAAAGAAACGCGAAAUGAAAUUAUAACAAAGAUACACGUAACCGAUUAUAAAUUGGUUCCAGUUAUCUCGAGACUAUCAGAGUACCAAUCUUCGACGGCGAUGACUAACAAUGAGCUAGACGUACGUCGCGAUUGUCGGAAGAACAUUGACUCAGCGUCGAGACACGUACGUUGCGAGCCAUUCGAAAUUCCACGAAUAUUCCUCGCCGCGUCGUAAAAGCCGCCAAACACGCUCAAUAUUUUUCACCUUACCCUCUCACCCCCUGACACUCGUGCAUAUUUACCGCCACGUGAUCGCGGACUUUCCCUCUCCAUCAUCGGUUACGGGUUUAGAAUAACCCAAAGCUCCGCGGUUCGGACCAUUCGUGAGUUCGAUCUCGAGUUGUUCGCGUCUCCUUUCUUCACGGAAACUUCCUUUGGGAACCGACUGGCUAAGAGAAACCGACGCGCAACUUUCAUUGAGUAAUGGAGGUCGCUAAAGUGAACGAAAACGCUGGUAGCCUUGUCGAACAGUCGAUGAACAUCACGGCGGAAUCAAAAUCCGUCUCCACCAUGAAAUCCAUGGAGAGCGUGCAGACCAAGUCCGUGAUCGAGUCGUCGACAUCCAUCAAGUCCGUGACCUCGUCGUCGACGAGGGCGCAGCAGUCCAUGGAGUACGAGGAGACGAUCGAGUACAGCGACUAGAUCCAUUAUCGUCACACCAAAUCACAAUUAAAAAACAACAAACGGAUACCCUUUUGACGUCGUGCCACGCAGGGGAGAGUUGACACGCGGUAUUUUUCACUCGGCUCCAGCUUCGAUCCACGUACGAUAUUAUUGUGUUCUCCCGAUCUGUUCCAACAUUUCCAUGUGAAAAAUUCGAGAAUGAAAUAGCCGAUGGAAGACACUCGAGAAGCUAGUCGCGUUCUUGUCGACUCCGUCACGCCAGCAUGGUUCUAUCGAAACGAGAUUCAAAGGAAAUACGGUUAGUGCGUGGCAGAGAGUCUUUCCUCGUGUCUUGCAUGUUGAUCUUGGAUCGAGUCAGGAAGAACGCGCGACUGUGCUACAGAAGCGGUAGGGAACAGAAGGAAGAGUACACGAGUCGAGUCGAAUAGCUGAUGGACGAAUCAAAGCGUUCACGGCCUUUCGAAGUGGCUUUCAAAAAUAACCACUCUCUUUUGCACCGCAUAGCUGAUAAUGAAAAUAAGAAAAAUAAGAAAAUGAAGGAACGUUUGGAAGCCUCGACCAUGAGCUCUGGCUCUCCUCCAAUCGGCGCGGUUCCCCGCCAAAUAGCGAUUCGCCCUUUCCUUUUCUUCCUCUAAGGAUCGUCCCUGAUCGUAUCACCGAUCCUCCUUUAAAUACGCAAGCCUCUCCAUCAUUGUCACGACUUGAUCCCACAUUUCGUUGCAAACAUUCGAUUAUCUUUGUAUAAUAAAGUUUCUAAGAUAUUGUU